rnacentral:rRNA from 1 species
UUAAGUUGGGCACUCUAAGUUGACUGCCGGUGACAAACCGGAGGAAGGUGGGGAUGACGUCAAAUCAUCAUGCCCCUUAUGAUUUGGGCUACACACGUGCUACAAUGGACAAUACAAAGGGUAGCGAAACCGCGAGGUCAAGCAAAUCCCAUAAAGUUGUUCUCAGUUCGGAUUGUAGUCUGCAACUCGACUAUAUGAAGCUGGAAUCGCUAGUAAUCGUAGAUCAGCAUGCUACGGUGAAUACGUUCCCGGGUCUUGUACACACCGCCCGUCACACCACGAGAGUUUGUAACACCCGAAGCCGGUGGAGUAACCAUUUGGAGCUAGCCGUCGAAGGUGGGACAAAUGAUUGGGGUGAAGUCGUAACAAGGUAGCCGUAUCGGAAGGUGCGGCUGGAUCACCUCCUUU